UACGGAGGGUCCAAGCGUUAUCCGGAAUUACUGGGUUUAAAGGGUGCGCAGGCUGCGUAAUAAGUCAGAGGUGAAAUGCUAUCGCUAAACGAUGGAACUGCCUUUGAUACUGUUAUGCUAGAAGAUGGAUGAGGUAGGCGGAAUGCGACAUGUAGCGGUGAAAUGCAUAGAUAUGUCGUAGAACACCGAUUGCGAAGGCAGCUUACUAGACCAUACUUGACGCUGAGGCACGAAAGCGUGGGGAGCGAACAGG
rnacentral:rRNA from 1 species